rnacentral:rRNA from 1 species
GAUGAACGCUGGCGGCGUGCCUAAUACAUGCAAGUCGAGCGAACAGACGAGAGUGCUUGCACUCUCUGACGUUAGCGGCGGACGGGUGAGUAACACGUGGGUAACCUACCUAUAAGACUGGGAUAACCUCGGGAAACCGGAGCUAAUACCGGAUAAUAUUUAGCUUCGCAUGAAGCAAUAGUGAAAGACGGUUCUGCUGUCACUUAUAGAUGGACCCGCGGUGUAUUAGCUAGUUGGUGAGGUAACGGCUCACCAAGGCAACGAUACAUAGCCGACCUGAGAGGGUGAUCGGCCACACUGGGACUGAGACACGGCCCAGACUCCUACGGGAGGCAGCAGUAGGGAAUCUUCCGCAAUGGACGAAAGUCUGACGGAGCAAUGCUGCGUGAGUGAAGAAGGUUUUCGGAUCGUAAAACUCUGUUGUAAGGGAAGAACAAGUACGUUAGUAACUGAACGUACCUUGACGGUACCUUACCAGAAAGCCACGGCUAACUACGUG